CUUCAGUUAUUUUUUCCUAUUUUCUCCAGGUGCUGCUUGUUUCUUUGUGAAACAUGUGCAGACAGGGAUGUGUAUUGAUGACACAAGAAUACUACACGCGGACGCGCAUUGGGGAAACUUAUCUUUUGUGGAACUUUCCAACAACUGUCUGGAUCCAGCUGCUCAGUCUCGGUUUCUUGAUAAUAGUGCCAUGUUCAAUUUGAAAAGAAAGGGAUGUUUCGAGGGAACAUGUAGGGCUGGUACUGGUUAUCUUCUUCCUAUGUUGUAUUUGCUCCUUACUCCAGAUCCUUCAGAUAAUUGUCGUGAUCGAGACCAUGCUAUAACUCAGACCUCUUGGGGAGGUUUAUCUGUAUAUGAAGUACCUAAUAAAGGGACGCGGUGUGCAGUCCCUCGUAAUGAUGUUCGAAUUGCUAACCAAGGAAUAGAUCCCUACAUCGGAUUGACGACAAAUUGUAACGAUGCAGAGGAUAAACGUUUUAAUUUUGGU